rnacentral:rRNA from 1 species
AUACGUAGGGGGCGAGCGUUGUCCGGAAUGAUUGGGCGUAAAGGGCGCGUAGGCGGCGCGGUAAGUCUGGAGUGAAAGUCCUGCUUUCAAGGUGGGAAUUGCUUUGGAUGCUGCCGCGCUUGAGUGCAGGAGAGGUUAUCGGAAUUCCCGGUGUAGCGGUGAAAUGCGUAGAGAUCUGGAGGAACACCAGUGGCGAAGGCGGGUAACUGGACUGCAACUGACGCUGAGGCGCGAAAGUGUGGGGAGCAAACAGGAUUAGAUACCCUGGUAGUCCACACUGUAAACGAUGAAUGCUAGGUGUAAGAGGUAUCGAGCCCUUGUGUGCCGGAGUCAACACAAUAAGCAUUCCGCCUGGGGAGUACGGCCGCAAGGUUGAAACUCAAAUGAAUUGACGGGG